rnacentral:rRNA from 1 species
UACACUCCUGCGGGAGGCAGCAGUGGGGAAUAUUGGACAAUGGGCGAAAGCCUGAUCCAGCAAUGCCGCGUGAGUGAUGAAGGCCUUAGGGUUGUAAAGCUCUUUUACCCGGGAUGAUAAUGACAGUACCGGGAGAAUAAGCCCCGGCUAACUCCGUGCCAGCAGCCGCGGUAAUACGGAGGGGGCUAGCGUUGUUCGGAAUUACUGGGCGUAAAGCGCGCGUAGGCGGCUUUGUAAGUUAGAGGUGAAAGCCCGGAGCUCAACUUCGGAAUUGCCUUUAAGACUGCAUCGCUAGAAUCGUGGAGAGGUGAGUGGAAUUCCGAGUGUAGAGGUGAAAUUCGUAGAUAUUCGGAAGAACACCAGUGGCGAAGGCGACUCACUGGACACGUAUUGACGCUGAGGUGCGAAAGCGUGGGGAGCAAACAGGAUUAGAUACCCGGGUAGUCCCAUGAU